UACGUAGGGGGCAAGCGUUGGUCCGGAUUUAUUGGGCGUAAAGAGCUCGUAGGUGGUUCGGUAAGUCGGAUGUGAAAUCUCCAGGCUCAACCUGGAGGGUCAUUCGAUACUGCCGUGACUAGAGUUCGGUAGGGGAGUGUGGAAUUCCUGGUGGAGCGGUGAAAUGCGCAGAUAUCAGGAGGAACACCCGUAGCGAAGGCGGCACUCUGGGCCGAUACUGACACUGAGGAGCGAAAGCGUGGGGAGCGAACAGG
rnacentral:rRNA from 1 species